GCGGGCGUGGCGGAAUUGGUAGACGCGCUAGACUUAGGAUCUAGUGCCGCAAGGUGUGAGAGUUCGAGUCUCUCCGCCCGCAC
rnacentral:tRNA from 1 species